rnacentral:snRNA from 1 species
GGAUGUGAGGGCGAUCUGGCUGCAACAUGUCACCCCAUUGAUCGCCAGGGUUGAUUUGGCCAAUCUGGCUUGCUAGGUGGGUGUCCCCUUCCUCCCUCAACGCUCCACGCGCAUCCCUCCCAAAGCUACACACUCGGUUGAAGAGGAUAACCUAGAGGAUGACCUUUCCCAAUAAAGGAGGACCAGUCUCUGGUCAAGGGUAUAUGAGUAGCUGCACUCCCCUGCUAGAAUCUCCAAACAAGCUCUCAAAAACUGUUAUUCUUAUCUACAGGUGUGUAGUGAGCAGGAGAUGGUGCAGAGGACACUGGGGAUGGAAAGGACCAUUGUAUCAUUUUGAGAUAAAUCCU